GCCGGCAUAGCUCAGCUGGUAGAGCAACUGAUUUGUAAUCAGUAGGUCCCGGGUUCGACUCCUGGUGCCGGCACCA
rnacentral:tRNA from 2 species